rnacentral:rRNA from 1 species
AUUAAUGAAUAUAAUUCGAGGGGUUGUCGCUGGCUUCGCUCGCGAGGCAUGUGCACGCUCCUUGUUUUUCAUAACUCACCUGUGCACCUAAUGUAGGAUGCCUCUCCUCCGGGAGGGGGGACCUAUGUCUUCAUAUACAUCUUCGUGUAGAAAGUCUUUGAAUGUUUACUAUCAUCGAGUCGCGACUUCUAGGAGACGCGAUUCUUUGAGAUAAAAGUUAUUACAACUUUCAGCAAUGGAUCUCUUGGCUCUCGCAUCGAUGAAGAACGCAGCGAAAAGCGAUAUGUAAUGUGAAUUGCAGAUCUACAGUGAAUCAUCGAAUCUUUGAACGCACCUUGCGCUCCUCGGUGUUCCGAGGAGCAUGCCUGUUUGAGUGUCAGUAAAUUCUCAACCCCUCUCGAUUAGCUUCGAGAGGGUGCUUGGAUAGUGGAGGUUGCAGGAGACUUGGAUUCGUCCAGGACUCGGGCUCUUCUGAAAUGCAUCGGCUUGCGGUCGACUUUCGACUAUGUGCGACAAGGCUUUCGGCGUGAUAAUGAUCGCCGUUCGCUGAAGCGCAUGACUGAAGGUUCCGUGCCUCUAAUACGUCGACCACUUACUAUCUCUCCGGAGAGAACGGGGUCUUCCUCAUUGACUUUUGACCUCAAAUCAGGUAGGACUACCCGCUGAACUUAAGCAUAUCAAUAA